AAUAGAUACCCAGGUAGUCCACGCCGUAAACGAUGAGUGCUAAGUGUUAGAGGGUUUCCGCCCUUUAGUGCUGAAGUUAACGCAUUAAGCACUCCGCCUGGGGAGUACGGCCGCAAGGCUGAAACUCAAAGGAAUUGACGGGGGCCCGCACAAGCGGUGGAGCAUGUGGUUUAAUUCGAAGCAACGCGAAGAACCUUACCAGGUCUUGACAUCCUCUGACAACCCUAGAGAUAGGGCUUCUCCUUCGGGAGCAAAGUGACAGGUGGUGCAUGGUUGUCGUCAGCUCGUGUCGUGAGAUGUUGGGUUAAGUCCCGCAACGAGCGCAACCCUUGAUCUUAGUUGCCAUCAUUAAGUUGGGCACUCUAAGGUGACUGCCGGUGACAAACCGGAGGAAGGUGGGGAUGACGUCAAAUCAUCAUGCCCCUUAUGACCUGGGCUACACACGUGCUACAAUGGACGGUACAAAGAGCUGCAAGACCGCGAGGUGGAGCUAAUCUCAUAAAACCCGUUCUCAGUUCGGAUUGUAGG
rnacentral:rRNA from 1 species